UGGGGAAUAUUGCACAAUGGGCGCAAGCCUGAUGCAGCAACGCCGCGUGAGGGACGACGGCCUUCGGGUUGUAAACCUCUUUUAGUAGGGAAGAAGCGAAAGUGACGGUACCUGCAGAAAAAGCACCGGCUAACUACGUGCCAGCAGCCGCGGUAAUACGUAGGGUGCGAGCGUUGUCCGGAAUUAUUGGGCGUAAAGAGCUCGUAGGCGGUCUGUCGCGUCUGCUGUGAAAACCCGAGGCUCAACCUCGGGCCUGCAGUGGGUACGGGCAGACUAGAGUGCGGUAGGGGAGAAUGGAAUUCCUGGUGUAGCGGUGGAAUGCGCAGAUAUCAGGAGGAACACCGAUGGCGAAGGCAGUUCUCUGGGCCGUAACUGACGCUGAGGAGCGAAAGCGUGGGAGCGAACAGGAUUAGAUACCCUGGUAGUCCACGCCGUAAACGUUGGGCGCUAGAUGUGGGGACCAUUCCACGGUUUCCGUGUCGCAGCUAACGCAUUAAGCGCCCCGCCUGGGGAGUACGGCCGCAAGGCUAAAA
rnacentral:rRNA from 1 species